rnacentral:rRNA from 1 species
UACGGGGGGGGGGCAAGCGUUUGUUCGGAAUUACUGGGCGUAAAGGGCUUGUAGGUGGCCAACUAAGUCAGACGUGAAAUCCCUCGGCUUAACCGGGGAACUGCGUCUGAUACUGGAUGGCUAGAGUUUGGGAGAGGGAUGCGGAAUUCCAGGUGUAGCGGUGAAAUGCGUAGAUAUCUGGAGGAACACCGGUGGCGAAGGCGGCAUCCUGGACCAAUACUGACACUGAAAAGCGAAAGCCAGGGGAGCAAACGGG